CUGCCAAGUGUCUGUUUUGAAAUGAGACCAUACUAAUGUUUGAAGUACUGAUGCUUGUGAAUUCGGCUUUAUUAAUUCAUACACUCUUAAACACUUUUUUUUAAACUCAUAAAUCACAUUUGGCACUAUUGCAAUUUUAAUCUAAUUUAUCUGGUAUAGAUGGAUUCUGUACUCAAACAUUAUAGUUUUCAUUUUAGUCAAAAAGCACACACUCUUUUAUUAGUUAAUAUUUUCUUUAAAUGACUGGUCAAUAUUUCACUAUGUAUUUAAAUACUUCAUGAAUGUACACAGCAGAGUGUGAACAGGACUUUUAUUUUGGUUUUGCGAUAUUACGUCAUAAGGCGGCGCCGCGCUCCUGCGUCUGUUGUGGUUCGGCUGUAGAAAGAAAAACUCCUGGUGAAGCGACUGAGAUCCACGUGACACUAUUAUAAAGAUGGCGUUUAUUAAAGAGGAGAGUGAAGAAAUGAAGAUUGAAGAAACAUUCAGAGUGAAACAAGAAGAUACUGAGGAACAAACAGACCUGAUGGCACUGAAAGAGGAGGCUGAGGUACAGAAUGAAAUGGAAGAUAAAGAUCAAUAUAACCAUCAUCAUAAUUUCAUAACUGGAGAAAAAUCUUUUAGUUCCUCACAGCCUGAAAAGACUUCCUCACUAAAAGGAACUCAAAAGGCAGGGAUUAGAAGACACUACAUCUGCCAACAGUGUGGAAAGAGAUUCAAUCAAAAAGGACACUUUAAAGAGCACAUGAGAAUUCACACUGGAGAGAAACCCUACAUGUGCACUCAGUGUGGAAAGAGUUUCAGUCAAAAAGGACAUUUUAAAGAGCACAUGAGAAUUCACACUGGAGAGAAGCCUUAUAACUGCCAUCAGUGUGGAAAAUGUUUCACUGGAAAAGGAAACCUUAAAAAACACAUGAGAAUUCACACUGGAGAGAGCCCUUUUAUGUGCCAACAGUGUGGACACAGAUUCAAUCAUACAGGAAGCCUUAACAGGCACAUGAGAGUUCACACUGGAGAGAAGCCGUACACGUGUCCUCAAUGCGGAAAGAGCUUCAGUCAACAUGGAAAUCUUGUAAAACACAUGAUAAUUCACACUGGAGAGAGCCCUUUUAUGUGCCAACAGUGUGGACACAGAUUCAACCAUAGAGGAAGCCUUAACAGGCACAUGAGAACUCACACUGGAGAGAAGCCUUACACGUGUUCUCAAUGCGGAAAGAGUUUCAGUCAACAUGGAAAUCUUGUAAAGCACAAGAAAAUUCACAUUGGACAGAGCCUUUUCACUUGCCAGUUUCACUCUGAAAGAAAACCUUAAACACAUGAGCACUCACACUAGAGAGAAGUUGUUUACUUGUCAUCUAUGUGAAAAGACUUUCAGAUAUAAGAUAAGAAAUCUAUGGCUGAUGCCCUGUCUCGUCUCCAUCAACCUAAUCCUGAGAACAGUUCUCCAGAACCUAUUCUCCCUCCAGCCAUGAUUGCCAGCCCAAUCCAAAGGUCCAUCGAUGAGCAAAUUACCCAAGCUAACUGCACCGAACCUGCUCUGCCAGGAGGUCCAGAGGGGCCCCUCUACAUACCACCAACCUAUCGUCUGCCCCUCAUGGACUCAACUAACACGUCCCUGGGCUUUGGACACCCAGGUAGUCAAUGUACUCUCUCGCGCUUAUGUCAUCGCUACUGGUGGCCCACCAUGGCUCAAGAUUUCUCCUGAUAUUGAUCAAAGGGUUGAUCAAUUGAUCAAAGGAUGCUCAGUCACCAUUACCAACACUUCCCGAGACUCCUGAAAGAAAGCUGGUUCCGCUGCCCAUUCCACACCAUCCAUGGUCUCAUCUUGGCAUUGACUUCAUGACCGACCUCCCACCUUCUAACAAUCAUACCUGUGUGUUUGGCGUUGUUGACCGCUUGUCAAAGGCAUGCAAACUCAUCCCUCUCAAAAGAUUACCAACUGCAUUCGAAGCUGCUGAAGCGCUCUUCCAAAAUGUGUUCCGCCACUUCAGCCUUCCUGAAGACAUUGUAUCAGUUUGUGGUCCUCAAUUCAUCUCCCGUGUAUGGCAAGCAUUCUUCAAACUGCUGGUAGUGCCAGUAAGCCUCUCCUCUGGUCACCACCCUCAAAAUUAACGACCUGACUGAACAGAAAAUAAAGGAGAUUGGGAGGUACCUGAGGUCCUACUGACACCAGAACCAGGACAGCUGGAGCCAGUUCCUUCAAUGGGAGCCCAGAACUCCCUCAGACAAUCCACCACUAGGCUCACCCCAUUUCAGUGUAUCCUUGGGUACCAACCUCUGUUAUUCCCUGGUCCAGUGAGCCCUCUUGAGGUUCCAGCUGUCAACCACUGUUUCCAGCAGAGUGAGAGAGUAUGGGACUCAGCUCAUGUGCAGCUCAACGAGGUCACCUACAGACUAAACCUUCCAUCACACUACCGCAUCUCACCAUCAUUUCAUGUGUCACUCCUUAAACCUUACACUGAACCCUCGCUGCCUUUCCCCACAGAAUUGGUGAUGAGGUACUUCCACUUCCUGAACUCACAGACGAGGAAGCCAAUUCCAUCUGAACACCCAGAUCGCCCAACUCCCAGGGGUUGAAGUAGGCCCCAUCAUCGUCGUCCAAACCGGCCGUCAGAAGCCACCCUUGGAGGAGGGGGUACUGUGACAGAGUAACAACCAUCGCAGACCACUAACCUUCCGUUGUCACCAGAUCAGCACACUCCACCCACUUAUUCAAUCUUCCUGGAAUUCUGAUUCACGGCACCUGCACCUCAUCAUCAGCACUCACUAUAAAGAGACACUUCUCUUGUACUCCCUUGUCUGGUUUCGUCUGUACAAACACUAAAGACUCCUUACCUGGUAUUUAACGGCUUCUUUGAAAUACUCACCCAUCUUGCAUCAUCUGUCACUUGUCUGCUUCGACUUUGCACAUCUGCAAAGAGACUAUUACUAUCCAGCCAAGUCUAGUAUUCAUCAUUCAAUAUUUUUUAUACUCCCCAAUCUGCAUUCCUGUCAAAAUCAGUGCCCCUGUUCAAUAAACUCUGUGUUUUACAAACA